rnacentral:tRNA from 1 species
AAAGAUUUAGUUUAAAAAAAACAUAAAGUUGUCAACUAUAAAUUAUUUAUUUAAUAGUCUUUU